UCUCCGUUGGUGAACCAGCGGAGGGAUCAUUACAGAGUUUUCACACCUCCCAACCCUUCCGAACCUUCCCCAUUCUGUUCUCGUUCCUUCCUGCGGCGGGGACGGCGUGGCCCGAAACGGGCUUGACCACCCGCCGGCCGGCGGCGGCCCGCCCUACGAACCUUUAUCUUUCAAACACCCGAUACCCUCUGAAAAAACAAACAAAAUAAACAAAACUUUCAACAACCGAUCUCUAAGCCAUUGCAUCGAUGAAUAACCCAGCAGAAAGGAAUACCAAAC
rnacentral:misc_RNA from 1 species